rnacentral:rRNA from 1 species
UACAGAGGGGGCAAGCGUUAUUCGGAAUUAUUGGGCGUAAAGGGCGCGUAGGCGGCUUUGCAAGUGACGGGUGAAAGCCCUCGGCUUAACCGAGGAACUGCCUGUCAGACUGUAAGGCUUGAGACCGGGAGAGGUGAGUGGAAUUCCUAGUGUAGAGGUGAAAUUCGUAGAUAUUAGGAAGAACACCAGUGGCGAAGGCGGCUCACUGGCCCGGUACUGACGCUGAGGCGCGAAAGCGUGGGGAGCAAACAGG